rnacentral:rRNA from 1 species
UACGAGAGGUGCUAGCGUUAUUCGGAAUUAUUGGGCGUAAAGGGCGCGUAGGCGGCUGAUUAAGUUUGUUGUUAAAGACUUUGGCUUAACUGAAGAAAAGCAAUAAAUACUGGUCGGCUAGAGGGUGAUAGAGAGAAGUGGAAUUCCCGGAGUAGCGGUAAAAUGCGUAGAUCUCGGGAGGAACACCAAUGGCGAAGGCUGCUUCUUGGUUCACUACUGACGCUGAGGCGCGAAAGCGUGGGGAGCAAAC